rnacentral:lncRNA from 1 species
UGAAAUCACAAUAAACUAAAACAUAGUUUUUUUCCAUUUUUGUUCACCUUUUUUAGGCUAAUGACGAUACAAUAACGUUACAAUACAAGUCUACUAAACUAGAUAUAAGGUUCUAAAAACAUAAUUAUGUCCAACAAGGCCUCGUGAUCAUCAUAUCUAAAAAAAGAAUACUGAUUAAACAAAGAGAAUAACCAACCACAAUAAUAAAGCAAUUGUUUAUAAUAUCUAAACAUAACAAUUACACAAAUUUACAUUUGUAUGAUAUUACAAAACACAUUUAAUUUCAGAUUCUUACCUUAGUUUGCUCCAAAAAAUUAUUGAUCUGAAACUUUAUUUAUAGCAAAUAUUAUCACCGAAGGUUUAGGAUCUCUUUGUUUCCGAUUUGGUAUAAUGGACUUCAAUUCAACUUUGAAGAGAUGUGAAAGUUUUGAAAAAUAAGUGUGUAGUACCGGUGGCUUAAAACUGUGUUGGGUAUCGACUGAAGUUCAUCUAAAUUUUGAAGAGAAAAAAGGCUUUUGAUAGAUUAUGUUAGUCUUGAAAUUAUUAAAUAUAUAUUAGGAUUAUUGGAUAAUAAUAAUAAUAAUAAUAAUAAUAAUAAUAAUAAUAAUAAUAAUAAUAAUAGAAAAUUAGAAUUGACAAAAAUACUCACAAAUGAUAAAACUAUUAAAUUUUACAUAUUUGAAUGAAUUUUCAAAAAAAAUUCAUUUUUUCAUUUUUUCAUUUUUAUAUAUUUUUUCGCCCAUCCGAUUUGAUUUUAAACCACAAUUUAAAUUCUCAAACCUAAACAAAACCAUUUUGACCGGUUUGGUUUGAGUCAAAAUCAUUUCGUUGACUGGGUCCACGUGGUACCAAACCGACGGUUUCUAAAAUACGAUUUCGAUUCGAUUUUGCGGUUUUUGCUUACAGCCCUAGGACGGGGUGAUAGAAUCCCAAAUAAGUAAUUGUCUAUUGAAUAGGUAUUGUGGGGAUUAAUACAAUAAGUUAUAGGCUGUUACUAAAAUAGGGAGGCAAUGCUUGAUUUGGGGAUGUAAAUAUUGGGUAGUUUGCUGAGAGCCUCUCAAAAGCCUUGGAAUUGUCAUUCAAUUUCUAUUAUUCUAUCAAAAGAAAUCCUGUUAAAAUUUCUGAUUUCUAAUUCAUUUUAUCAAAUGCAGAUCUACACUCCUAAAUUGAGUUUCGUAGCAUUCUCAAUAAACUCUCAAACUUCUUACUCCAGCAGUUGUAGCAGAAGAGAAGCCCUCCAGUAUUGAGAUAUGCCCCCCAGGGCACAUCCAAGUUGGCGGAACAAUCACAUUGGGGGGCUCUGAAACCAAGCGUGGGGAGUUCAAUUCCUGGUGGGAACCUUUGAUCCAAUAAAGGAGGAAUUAUUGGUGGAUUAAUCACCAUGGAGGAGGCUCCCUUUGGGGAAGGAGUAAAAGCCAUGUAGGAACCUGGGAAUCAACAAGGGCACAUCCUGCGAUUUACCUCCCUGAGCAGCUGAGGGGCCGGAGGUUCAGGGACGAGGAUAUAGUCUGGCGCAAGCUGGGACACCUCGUUAAAAAAAAAAAAAAAAAAAAGAGAGAGAGAGAGAGAGAGAGGUCCUCCAGUAGCAACAUCAACAACAGUAAUUCCACUGCAAUGGAGAACAAUUCCAACAACUCAGCAGCAGUACAGCAGAGAAGCAGAUCAGAGCUGCAUCUGGUAUUCUAUCAAAUGGUAUAAGAGCACUUGAUUAUAGGACAAAUGGAAACAAAGUUCAACAAAGAAUUCGAGGAGAGAUGGGACUCGCUACUCAAUUAGUUUGAGGAGAAGAUAAUGCAACGAGAAGGAAGAGGACAAGAUGAUCUGGGGCUCGAUUCACAAGGCCUGCUAAAAAUAUCAAAUAUUCCAUGGAGAAAAUACAGAUUGGUGGGCAUUGGAGGCGGAUAUGAUUUUUUCCAGAAAUGGAUUGUUGGAAGUCGGGAAGAUAGAAGCCGCAAUAGAUUGUUUUGAACAUCUGUGCGUGCUACAGCCCGUCUCCUUCGGCCCAAAUGUCCAUUAAAAAAAAUUUAAGUAAAUUUGUUUUUAUACGUAUUAGCCCGUGUUGAAUUUUUUCCUGAAUCUGACACUGGAUUUGUCAGAUUUUGUUCACCCCAGGAAGUUAUUAUCAUUAAGAGUUUUUCAACAUUGAAAUCAGAUGGAUUCGAGAAAGAUUACGAGCAGAACGCUAAGACUCUAACAUCGGCCCUAAACAAUUCCAAGGAUCGAAUAGGGAUGAAGUAAGGGAACACUAUGAAAGAAUAAGGUCAUCGACAAUUUCAUCAUCUCUUUCAUCACAUGAAAUGGUAGGAGAUUUGGAGGCCGGGUUGCAGAUAGAAAAAGAUGAAAGAAUAGUUGGGGAAGCUAGUGGGUUUGUGCUAUGAUAUAGAGGUGGCCCAGCAAGAGGAGGGCAAAAAUUCAAUAAAGUAAAAAUUUAUAAAUAAGAGUUUAUCAUACAUUUUAAAAUUAAAAAAACAAGUUUCAAACUUUAAAAAUCAAAUUUUUAUUUUAAUUUAUUUAUGAUUUAAUUUAUUAAUUAUUUUAUUAAUUAAAUAUAUUUAGGUCACAGAUCUAUGCAAUUUGGUCACAAAUUAACGUUUUAGUUAGACACUUAUUUUUUAUUUUUAUUUUUUUUAUCACAAAUCAGAAAUUUCAUAUCAAAAAUUAUUUUAUGAUCACCAUUCAUAAAUUUUGUAAGUCAAAGUUUAUUCAUCGAUCACAAAUUAAAAAAUUUAUAAGCCACGAUUUAUUUAUUGGUCAUAAAUCACAAAUAUUAUAAGUUAUGACUUAUUAUACAGUCACAAAUUAUUGAUCACAGAUUAUUCAUCGAUCAUGAAUCAAAACUUUUAUUGGUCACAACUCAUUGAUUUAGUGCAAGUAAUUAGAUUAAUUGGUCACAAUUAAUUUUUCGAUCACAAAUUAAUCAAUUGUGACUCUCGGUCAAAACUUUUAGGUAAUAUAUUACAAAUUAAUCAAUUAAUUGUCACAAGCAUCCAACCUAGGGAUGUCAAAAGAGUGAAAAUGGGGCUCAUGGGCGGCUCGAGCUCGUAAAAUCACGAGCCCGAGCACGAGCCGAGAGGCUCGUUUGAACGAGCCACGAGCCCCAAUUAUAAAGAGUGACCGUUUUGAUCACUUUUUCAGUGACCAAACGGUCACUGAAAUUAUUAUUAUUUUUUUAAUUUUCCCCCCUUUUCUAUAAAUACCCCUUCACCCCUUUAUUUUUUUCACAUCAAUUGCUACUCCAAGUCCCCAACUCUCUCAACUCUCUUUAAUUAUAUCAAUUAUCGAGUUUUUACUCUCUUGUGUUGCAAAAUAUAUAAUAUCAAUUCAAUUUUUAUAGUUUAUUAGUUACAAUUUCAAUUCAUUCAAUUCUCAAUUCUCACAAUCUCACUACAUUUAUAUUCUUUUAGUUAAGAUUUUAUCAUAAACAAUCAAAGAAAUUAAUCAAUGCUCAUUUGUUAAGAGCUUAUUCGAUACAGGAUGUGGGUCAUAUCAUGGUGAAUCGCCUAGGACGUCGUAAAGUCAAUUUCCAAAUGAAUUUAUCGGUCUAAAUGACCUACCGAUACCUGAAGAUGUUCAUAUUCACGGUCACAAUCCAAUUGAUUUGGAUGAUAUUAACGUUCCUGAAGUGGAACAUGAGGAUGAAGAUGUCGAAUUAAACAUCCCACAUGCGAGGGGAAAGCGAAAUGUCAAAAAACAAGCAAAAUAUUGGGAUCACUUUAAAUUGAUUUCAACGGGAAAAGUCAUAGAUGGCCUUGCAGAAUUUAAAGUAGUAUGUAAAUACUGCCAACAAAGAUUGGCAUGGCAAAAAGGAAUUAAUACCACCUAUCUCAACCGCCACUUCAAAGCAUGUGCAGCCAGACAUGGACUUCUUCCAGCUGGUUAAAUACAAUUGCAAUUUGGCAGUCCAGGCGCUGAUUCUACAACUUUACCCCUAUCCACGUGAAUGUAUUCGGAGGACAAUACUUGAACCGAAAUAGUGAAAUUUGUUGUCAUCACUGAAUUGCCUCUGGCUAUUGCAGACAACCAAUACUUUGUCUUGUUCGUGAAAGAAUAUCUACAAUCGAGAUACGUUGGGAUAAGUCGAAACACUCUUCGUGCCGGUACAAUAAAUUAUUUCAAUAAUUCAAAAUAACAAUUAAUUAUGGAUUUGCAACAAUAUGAAGGUGUUAUAUCUUUAACUUCUGAUAUAUGGGAAGGGGUUAAUAAAAGAGCAUAUAUAGCUACAACUGCACACUAUAUAGACCCACUUUGACAAAUGUAUAAGAAAAUUAUUGUUUUUAGAAUUAUUGAGUUUUUUCACAAUGCUAAUAAUUUAUAUAAUGCUAUUAUCAGUAUUGUUAGAGAAUAUCAUUGCUAGACUAAAAUUCGAUCUUUUACUUUUGAUAAUGCUAAUAUUAAUAAGGCAAUCGUCGAUAAAUUGUGUAGGACACUUCAACCUAAUUUUGAUGGGUAUUUGUUUCAUAUUCGUUGUGUGUUUCAUAUCUUGAAUUUAAUUGUGCAAGAUGAUUUAAAACAUACAAAGGAUGAAUUUCAAAGGAUUAGGAAUGCAUUAGUGUAUAUUACGAUCUCUCAUAGUAGAAAACAAGCAUUUGAAGAUUUUUGUGCCGAACUAGGGGUGACGAUUGCUAAAACAUUUGUUAGCGACGUAAGCCAUGGAUGGAACUCUACUUACUUGCUAUUAAAGUCAUGUGAAUGUUUCGAAAAUUUAAUAACCGACUUUUAUAACAAUAGACACGUUAGAAGUGAUGACGAUGGUAUAUUAAACGAAUCCGAUUGAAUUUUAGUUUUGAAAGUUAAACGAUUUUUGAUAUCUUUUUAUGAGACCACAAAGAUUUUAUCCGACGUUUAUUAUCCCACAAGUUUUAUGGUGUUUGAACGCGUUUAUAUAAUUGCAAGAACAUUCCAUAAAUAUAAAAAUGAUCCUACUUUUAGUGAAAUUAUAAUUGUUAAGGAAUUAAAAUUUAGAAAAUAUUGGGAAGAACUGCCUAUGUUAUUUCCUUUAACAUGUGUAAUGGACCCCCGAUAUAAUAUUUCGGGAACUAAAUACAUAAUUGAUCAAAUCAAUAAAAUUUUAAUAUUUGAUACAUCUAUCACCUAUAAGAAUUUAGAUCAAAUAUUAUGUGGAAUUUAUGAUUUAUAUGCGGAAAGAAUGAGAGCGAAUGUUAGUCGGGUACUCUCUACACCUACUCCUUCUGUUGAAAUUGAAGAAGAUGAUGCCAAAAUAAUAAAUUUAUUUCAAGGCAUUAAUAAAUUUAUAUAUGAUACAACUGCAAUGUGUUUAUCUAGUGUCAUGUCGUCUACAUUUACAUCUCAUCAAACAUCGGCCUAAACUCAAAAUGCGAUGUCUGCCGAAUUAAUUGAUUACUUCAAUUAUAAUAUGCGAACAGAUAGAACAAUUAAAAAAAGUUCAGAAGAAGUAAUUGAAUUCUGGCGAAAGUAUGAAAGAUGUUGGCCAAUUGUUUCUGCAAUUGCAAAAGAUCUGCUGACACCUCUGGUUAGCAUUGUUGCUUCGGAGUCUGCUUUUAGUGCAGGUAAAAGGAUUUUGACCGAUAUCAAGAGCCGACUGAAAGAAGAUAUUUUGGAAGCGUUAAUGUGCGUGAAUAAUUGACAGGAAGCUUAUUUUCGACCACAAUAUAAAUACGCUGAAAUUGCAUGUCGUCAAGUAAGUGAUAUUUGAUUUAAUUAUAUUAAUAAAAAUUUCUUUAUUUUUUAAUCGUUAAAUUUAAUUUUUAAAAAAAUUAUACACGUUACAACAAGUUGUUUGUGUAUAAUUUUUAACUCCGCCUACUUAAAAUUGAUGUAGUCAAUCCCAAGUCCGGAUAAAGGAGGAGAGUUUACAUUUUAUCUACUUUAAAAAGAAAUCAAAAAUAUAUAUUUUUUGUAAAUGUAUUUCAAAAAAUAAUUCAUCUUCAUUAUAUAAAUAUUUUAUACUCUGUAAAAAGUAUUACAAUAUGAUAUAAAUAAAAAAAUAAAAAAUUAUUUUCGUUAAAUUAUUUGUAUUUUUAACACUUUUUAUUUUUUUUAAAAGUGUUUUAUAUUAUUUCAUUUAUUUGUAAAACUCUUUAAAAAAAAUUGGACGAGCCCACGAGCCCAAGCUCGGCUUGACCCACGAACUCGUGGGCCGAGUUGAGCUCGCCCAAAUUCAAUGAGCCAAGCCCGAGCUCGGUUCGCCACGAGCGCGAACCCAGCUCAUGAGUCGAUUCGACCCAUUGCCACCACUAAUCCAGCCCCAUAUCAAAUAGCUGUCAUCGCCAUCAUUACCACCAAAAACCACACCAUCAUUGCUGUGACUACAGCUAUAACCUACCGUGACUACAAGCAGCAACAGCAUCACUAUUGCUUCACCACCACUAGCUCUCCACCAACAAAGCAAGUCCAAAACACCAUCGCCUUACCGCCGUCACCGCCUCCACAAUCACUGCCAUCACUACCUCCACCAUUUUCAACCACCACCACACCCAAACACUCCUUCACGUAAUAGGCAAGAAGAAACCAUCACGGUACGUCACAGCAACCAUACCACUCACCCGACUACCACCACACCUCCCGUUUCCCAUCACCGCACACCUUUACCACUGCCACGCAUAGCACUACCACCAUCGUUGCUACACAACACCAUGGUGCACACCAUCACGGUACUUGAUCGCAACCACACCACUCACCCAACCAUCACACGUCACAUUUCUCACCACCGCCACUGCACAGCACCACUACCAUCGCUGUUACACAACACCGCGCUUGUUAUACAGCGCCGACUAGAGUUUCCUGCUGGCAACACUGCGCCAUCACAGCAGCGUGCGCAGCGAUCCCGCCUGCAGACGACUUACUCUUCUACCGACGGAGCUCUUUUCGCAGCGCGGUCCAUUGAUAGUGAGAGGGAGAGGAGAUAAGGGAGAGUGAUAACCAUUAUCCACAACGGUGCUGCCUGGAGGUGACGUGCUCUUCUGUCGAUGGAGCUCUCUCGACAGCAGCCUCUGUUGAUGGUGAGAGAGAGGAGAUAAGGGAGAGGGAUAGGGAGAAAAGAGGGAUUAUGUUUUGAAAUUGAAAUUAUGGUGGGUGGGCUAGGUAUAUAAUUAAUUUAAUUUUAUAAUUAUUAUAAUUAAAAAAUCUAAAUUUUGAAAUAUUAAACUUAGCAUAUGAUUUAUGAAAUGCGAUCUUUAAAAGUAGGCUUUUAUGUAAUUUUCACAUUCGAUAAAGCCAAUUGAAGUAAGAAUGAGCCUAAAUAAAAUAAAGAUAAAUGUUCAACAACUAUAUACAGCCCUAAAAACCAUCAUACCGCUCAAAUUUCAAGCCCCAAUUACACCAACCUAUUGCAAUUAGAAAAGAAAAAGAAGAGUUAUGAGAUAAGAGAAGUAGUCAAAUUGGGAUGGGUAUGUGGCGACAGAGGUGAAUUUUUUUUUUUUUUUUACACCGACAACAGUGAGGAAGUUGGCGAUAAGUUGGGAUUUUAUACAAAUGCAAUGUUUGAAUUAAGGCGCAAAAGAUCAUAAAAGGGCAAAUUGCAUAAGAGGUGGAGGUGCAGUGCUUAUCAAUUAUAGUACUACCAACCAUUGUAUUCCAAUUGGUGAGACUAGUUACGAGAUUUUCAUGGACAAGAUACUACGUGUAGUUAAUGGGUCUACCAAUUUUUUUUGGUUGAAAUAUCCCUUUUCUGCUCUGGUCGUGACGAGCAUGGUAAAGAAAAUAGUUUAGCUGUACAGAAUUUUAGAAAUUGGUCAUGAUUUUCACCUCGGGGACAAUGUGAAUUUCAAGGAAAUGAUAUAGAUAGAAGCCAAAUCAGUAAUUAGUUCAACUCUCAAUUGUGCAGGGAUAUUGUAGGGAUUAAUACAAUAAGUUGUAUAAACUGUUACUUGUAAACAGGGGCAAUGUUUCAUUCGGGGAGAGGCAAAUAUUGAGUAGUUUGUUAAGUCAAGUAGGAGAGCUUCAGGCCUUGGAAUUGUCAUUCUGUUAUUCUAUCAAUACAAAUCCUAUUAUAAUUUAUAAUCUAGUUUACAGAUUUCUAAUUCAUUUUAUCAAUACAGAUCUACACCCCUAUAUCCAGUUUUAUAGCAUUCCCAAUAAAUUCAUAGACUUUUUGAUCUUACCGCAAACAGUUGCAGCAGAAGAGCAGCCUUCCAGUGGCAACAUCAACAAUGGUAAUUUCAUUCUAGCAGAGAAGCAGCAAUUCCAGCAAUCAGCAGUAGUACAAUGGGGAAGCAAAAUUAGAGCAGCACCAAUAUUCUAUCUCUGGGAAUGGGAUAGCA